rnacentral:rRNA from 1 species
CCUACGGGCGGCAGCAGUGGGGAAUAUUGGACAAUGGGGGGAACCCUGAUCCAGCGACGCCGCGUGAGUGAAGAAGUAUUUCGGUAUGUAAAGCUCUAUCAGCAGGGAAGCAAGAAAUGACGGUACCUGACUAAGAAGCCCCGGCUAACUACGUGCCAGCAGCCGCGGUAAUACGUAGGGGGCAAGCGUUAUCCGGAUUUACUGGGUGUAAAGGGAGCGUAGACGGCGAUGUAAGUCUGAAGUGAAAGGCGGGGGCCCAACCCCUGGACUGAUUUGGAAACUGUAUGGCUGGAGUACAGGAGAGGUAAGUGGAAUUCCUAGUGUAGCGGUGAAAUGCGUAGAUAUUAGGAGGAACACCAGUGGCGAAGGCGGCUUACUGGACUGUAACUGACGUUGAGGCUCGAAAGCGUGGGGAGCAAACAGGAUUAGAUACCCCUGUAGUC